rfam:Coprinopsis cinerea okayama7#130 chromosome 11 cont3.11, whole genome shotgun sequence.
GGUGAGAUGGCCGAGCGGUCUAAGGCGCCAGACUAAGGAUCAGCCUGCAUUGCAGGCACGGUAUCUGGUCCGAAAGGGCGUGGGUUCGAAUCCCACUCUCAUCA